AUGCUCUAUGAAAACAAUGGUAGUGUUCUAUUUAUCAAUAUUAUUCAAAAAAGUAUCAAGUGUCAUCACCAUACAAAACCUUUAGAUUUAAAAAAUGUUUACACAAUGUUUACAAGGUACACAGGAAACACAAUCUGUUAUGUGUUAUUUUUACUCGUGACCCCAGUUCAUGAGGGAAAAUGAAUUAACAGGUCUCAUCUUUAUACAACAAAUAUUUGUAAAAAAAAAAAAAAAAAAAAAAAUUGAAUAAAUAAAAAGGAUUCAUGUCA
ensembl:lncRNA